GUAGUCCACGCCCUAAACGAUGAUUACUAGUUGUCGGGACUCCUAAUUGUCUCGGUGACGCAGCUAACGCAUUAAGUAAUCCGCCUGGGAAUUACGGUCGCAAGAUUAAAACUCAAAGGAAUUGACGGGGGCCCGCACAAGCGGUGGAUCAUGUGGUUUAAUUCGACGCUACGCGAAGAACCUUACCUAGGCUUGACAUCCCGUGCUACCCCAUGAAAGUGGGGGUUCCCUUCGGGGACGCGGAGACAGGUGCUGCAUGGCUGUCGUCAGCUCGUGUUGUGAGAUGUUGGGUUAAGUCCCGCAACGAGCGCAACCCUCGUCGGUAGUUACCAGCAUUAAGUUGGGCACUCUACCGAGACCGCUGGGCUAUAAGCCAGA
rnacentral:rRNA from 1 species